AGGGUUGUGGCUCAGAGGUAGAGCACUUGCCUAGCAUGCAUGGAGCACUGAGUUCCAUCCUCAGCACCACAU
rfam:Ictidomys tridecemlineatus contig047781, whole genome shotgun sequence.